UACAGAGGGGGCAAGCGUUAUUCGGAAUUAUUGGGCGUAAAGGGCGCGUAGGCGGCCUGGCAAGUGGAAGGUGAAAUCCCUCGGCUUAACCGAGGAACUGCCCUCCAAACUGCUUGGCUUGAGUCCGGGAGAGGUGAGUGGAAUUCCCGGUGUAGCGGUGAAAUGCGUAGAUAUCAGGAGGAAUACCGAUGGCGAAGGCAGGUCUCUGGGCUGACACUGACGCUCAUGCACGAAAGCGUGGGGAGCAAACAGG
rnacentral:rRNA from 1 species